CCUCGGCGUAACGGUACAAGACCAGUUAAUGUUCCUCUCUCCAUCUGAAACCAAGCAGUGAGGUGUGGUCUACCUGCACACAGAUAUUUAUUAUCUGUGCUCCUGAAGCAUUGUGUUUUCAUGCAGAGGGAUUUGGGUGAAAUUAGGCACGGUCUGCAGUGAUGGAGACGCUUAAACUUGUUUUCGUUUUUGUGCUGCUUCUAUCAAAUGUUUUCUGUCAAGAAAUGGACGCAGACAUCUGGAGAGAAGGCGUGGAGGAGGGAAAAUGGCCAAACUCUAAAGAAAUUCAAGAUAUAUUAGUGAGAAUGACCAGAAAGCUGGGAUCUCGCCAACAUGUCGGACUCCUGGGAAGAAAAGAGUCCGGAAAAACACAGACGGCACGUAAACGGCAUAAAUUUCAAACCUUUGUGGGUCUGAUGGGGAAAAGGAGCUCUUGGGAUUGAGGAGCUCCGUGAGCUGACGAGGACGAAACACUGAAGAUUACGGAGAAAAACUAAAUUUCCAUGUGUUUGACUUUUUUUUUUAAUAUUUAAAAUGUCACAUUCAGCGUCGUUGAAAAUGCUCCUAACACUUACAGGCACAGAGCGACACCUAGUGAUAAAGUGAUGAAUAAAACGCCUGACAUUUUUUAAAUAAAUCAACAGAAAAAAAUAUCAAUUUAAGACUAAACUA